rnacentral:rRNA from 1 species
AGAGUUUGAUCCUGGCUCAGGACGAACGCUGACGGUGUGCUUUAGGCAUGCAAGUCGAACGAGAAAGCCCUUCGGGGUGAGUAAAGUGGCGAACGGGUGAGUAACACGUGGGCAACCUGCCCCUCGCAGGGGGACAACCGGAGGAAACUCCGGCUAAUACCCCGUAAGCUCUACACGCCGCAUGGCGAGUAGAGGAAAGGUAGCUUCGGCCAUCCGGCGAGGGAUGGGCCCGCGGUGCAUUAGCUAGUUGGUGGGGUAACGGCCCACCGAGGCGACGAUGCGUAGCUGGUCUGAGAGGAUGAUCAGCCACACUGGGACUGAGACACGGCCCAGACUCCUACGGGAGGCAGCAGCCAGGAAUCUUGGGCAAUGGGCGAAAGCCUGACCCAGCAACACCGUGUGGGUGAUGAAGGCCUUCGGGUCGUAAAGCCCUGUUGAUAGGGACGAAGGGUGAAGGGUUAAUAGCCCGGAGCUUGACGGUACCCUUCGAGGAAGCCCCGGCUAACUACGUGCCAGCAGCCGCGGUAAUACGUAGGGGGCGAGCGUUGUCCGGAAUUAUUGGGCGUAAAGAGCGUGUAGGCGGUUCGGUAAGUCUGUCGUGAAAUCCUGGGGCUCAACCCUGGGCGUGCGAUGGAUACUGCCGGGCUAGAGGGUGGUAGAGGCGAGUGGAAUUCCCGGUGUAGCGGUGAAAUGCGCAGAUAUCGGGAGGAACACCAGUAGCGAAGGCGGCUCGCUGGGCCACACCUGACGCUGAGACGCGAAAGCUAGGGGAGCGAACAGGAUUAGAUACCCCGGUAGUCC